rnacentral:tRNA from 1 species
GGGCGUAUAGCUCAGUGGUAGAGCACAUGCUUUGCGUGUGUGAGGUCCAGGGUUCAAUGUCCAGCACUUCCA